rnacentral:rRNA from 1 species
UACAGAGGGGGCAAGCGUUGUUCGGAAUUACUGGGCGUAAAGCGUGCGCAGGCGGCGCGUUAAGACAGGUGUGAAAGCCCCGAGCUUAACUUGGGAAUUGCGCUUGUGACUGGCGUGCUGGAGUGUGGCAGAGGGAGGUGGAAUUCCACGUGUAGCAGUGAAAUGCGUAGAGAUGUGGAGGAACACCGAUGGCGAAGGCAGCCUCCUGGGCCAGCACUGACGCUCAUGCACGAAAGCGUGGGGAGCGAACAGG